GAAAAGAUGUAAAUGAAAAAAUAAGAGAUGAAAAAUAGGAUAUUACAACAGGUACUAUUGAAAUCCAAGGGCUCAUUAGCGAUUAUUUUGAUAUGUUAUGUAACAAUAAAUUGGAAAAUCUAGAAGAAAUGGACAAACUUCUAGACACCUAUGACCUACCAAAACUAAUCCAAGGAGAUGUUUUUAAAAACAAAUUGAUCAAUGACCAUAACAAGACAAUGAGAUUAAAGCAGUAACAAAAAUUCUUUCAACAAAGAAAAUCCCAGGACCAGAGGAAUUUGCAACUGAGUUCUUCCACAUUUUAAAGACAAAUUCCAGAGCUCCUUAAAGUAUUCCAUAAAAUAGAAAGGAAGGAAUGCUUCCAAACUCAUUCCACGAAGCCAGUAUUAGCCUGCUACUACAACACGGUAAGGACAUAACAAAAAAGAACAGUAUAGACUGAUAUCCUUGAUGAAAACAGAUACAAAAAUUGUCAACGAAAUAGUUGUAAAUUGAAUUCAAUGUCACAUUAAAUGUUAACACACCAUGAUCAAGUUAGUUUUAUUCCAGAGAUAUAAGAUUGGCUCAACAUACACAAAUCAGUAAAUGUAAUAUACCACAUAAUAGAAUCAAGGAUAAAAAUCACAAGGGCAUCUCAACACAUACAGGAAUAUGAGCAAGAAAAGCCUUUGAUAAAAUUCAAAACCUCUUCAUGAUAAAAACUCUAUGUAAAUUAGAUAUAAAAGAAUCAUACUUUAACAUAAAAAUAUUACCAUGCUACAUAUAUUUUGGGCCACACAUUUUCCACUGAAUAUUAUAUUUACUCAUGCUAACAAACAUAUCUCAAAAUGAUUACAUUUAAUAGUAGUAUAAUUUCCCAUGUUGUAAGUGGAACAUUAUUUAUUCUACAAUGAUUCUAUGAUAAAUAAUCCCUAUAGUUAAACAUUUAUCAUCUCUGAUUAUUUAAUUAAAAUUAAGUCAUAGCAACAUAAUUAUCAGAUUGAAUGAUUUCAGUUUUUCAUACUUCUUCAUCUUAACAUAUUUAUAUAUUUGAUGAUCAAAACAUUUUAAAAUGUUCUCUGUGUGCUAUAGUUUGGAUUCUGAAUGUUCCCCAAAGGUCCAUGUGUUAAAGCUUAGUCCCUACCAUGGAGGAACCUUUAAGGGGUUGGGCCUGAUGGGAAGUCUUUAGGUCACUGGGAGUGUGCCCUUGAAAAGGACUGUGGGAGCCUAGCCCUAGCUCCUGUUCUCUUUGCUUCCUGGACAUCAGCUUAGUGGUUUGGGCUUGACACAUGCUCUCUUUAGUUGUAAAUUGAAUUCAAUGUCACAUUAAAUGUUACACAUACAUAUCCCUAUUUUAUUAGGAAAUCAAUAUUUUCCUAACCUAUUUCAUGUUUGCUUAUUCCCUUACACGAAAAAUAUACAUGAAAAGCCACAGUGGUAUAGGAAAAAUAUACAUGAAAAGCCACAGCUCUCACCAUGCUGCCUAACCACAUGUCAAAAGCCCCAAGGCCACUUGUUCAUGGAUCAGAACCUCCAAGACUGUCAGCCAAAAUAAACCUUUUCUUUUAGUAAGUUGAUUAUCUCAGACUUUUGUUACUGUGAUGGAAAGCUAACACACUAUAAAUUCCCAACUCUUCCUACAUUUACUCUCUUUGAUCUCAUACUCAAGAUUUGAACUUUUAUUGGAAUAUUUGCUAUUCUACUAGGAAAUUUUUAAACACAUAUAAACAAAUGUGAAUAUAUAUUUUUAAUUUUAUUCUUUAUUUUUUUAAGCACUGAUAAAUAUUGUCACAUUAUCCUUCAGAAAAGUUGUACCAAUUUUCAGUCCCACUAUCAGUGGAUUAGACAUCCUUUUUCCAAAGUUUGGUCUUUAUUAAAAGUAUUUAGUCAAUAUUCUAAUUGAUCAAAAUGAUAAACUUAAGUUAUGUUGAGAGCCACAGCCAAAGGGGCCCCAGCAAACUUCCAGCUGCCAGCAAACUUCCAGCUGCUGGCUGAUGAUUGGCUCACAGCGGCCCCAGCAACAUCUAGCUGAUUGGCUCCUCGGCCCCAGCAACAUCUAGCUGAUUGGCUCCUCGGCCCCAGCAACAUCUAGCUGAUUGGCU
rnacentral:lncRNA from 1 species